rnacentral:rRNA from 1 species
CAAUAGCGUAUAUUAAAGUUGUUGCGGUUAAAAGCUCGUAGUUGGAUUUCUGUUGAGAGCAGCCGGUCCACCUUUUGGGUGAGUAUCUGGAUUGGUCUCGGCAUCCUCACAACGAAUGUUUCUGCGCUUGAUUGCGUGGUAUAGGCGUUGUGACUUUUACUUUGAGGAAAUUAGAGUGUUCACGGCAGGCAUACGCCUUGAAUAUAUUAGCAUGGAAUAAUAUUAUAGGAUUUCGGUUCUAUUUUGUUGGUUUCUAGAUGCUGAAAUAAUGAAUUAAUAGGGAUAGUUGGGGGGCAUUCGUAGUUUAACUGUCAGAGGUGAAAUUCU